NGAGUUUGAUCCUGGCUCAGGACGAACGCUGGCGGCGUGCCUAAUACAUGCAAGUCGAACGAACUCUGGUAUUGAUUGGUGCUUGCAUCAUGAUUUACAUUUGAGUGAGUGGCGAACUGGUGAGUAACACGUGGGAAACCUGCCCAGAAGCGGGGGAUAACACCUGGAAACAGAUGCUAAUACCGCAUAACAACUUGGACCGCAUGGUCCGAGUUUGAAAGAUGGCUUCGGCUAUCACUUUUGGAUGGUCCCGCGGCGUAUUAGCUAGAUGGUGGGGUAACGGCUCACCAUGGCAAUGAUACGUAGCCGACCUGAGAGGGUAAUCGGCCACAUUGGGACUGAGACACGGCCCAAACUCCUACGGGAGGCAGCAGUAGGGAAUCUUCCACAAUGGACGAAAGUCUGAUGGAGCAACGCCGCGUGAGUGAAGAAGGGUUUCGGCUCGUAAAACUCUGUUGUUAAAGAAGAACAUAUCUGAGAGUAACUGUUCAGGUAUUGACGGUAUUUAACCAGAAAGCCACGGCUAACUACGUGCCAGCAGCCGCGGUAAUACGUAGGUGGCAAGCGUUGUCCGGAUUUAUUGGGCGUAAAGCGAGCGCAGGCGGUUUUUUAAGUCUGAUGUGAAAGCCUUCGGCUCAACCGAAGAAGUGCAUCGGAAACUGGGAGACUUGAGUGCAGAAGAGGACAGUGGAACUCCAUGUGUAGCGGUGAAAUGCGUAGAUAUAUGGAAGAACACCAGUGGCGAAGGCGGCUGUCUGGUCUGUAACUGACGCUGAGGCUCGAAAGUAUGGGUAGCAAACAGGAUUAGAUACCCUGGUAGUCCAUACCGUAAACGAUGAAUGCUAAGUGUUGGAGGGUUUCCGCCCUUCAGUGCUGCAGCUAACGCAUUAAGCAUUCCGCCU
rnacentral:rRNA from 1 species